rnacentral:ncRNA from 1 species
UUCUUUACUUGAUCAUCUUUCAAACCCUUACCAGUUAAAUGUAUAAUUUGGUAUUGAUGGAGUAAUGCAUCUAAAUUCUCUCUAAUAAUUUCAUUUAGCUUUUUACUACCUAAACUUCCACCCAUAACGAGUAGUACUUUUUUAUUAUUAUUAAAGCCUGUCAAUUGGUAACC